rnacentral:rRNA from 1 species
UACGAAGGGGGCAAGCGUUGUUCGGAAUUACUGGGCGUAAAGGGCGCGUAGGCGGCCAUCUUUGUCAGGCGUGAAAGCCCCGGGCUUAACCAGGGAACUGCGUCUGAUACUGGAUGGCUUGAGUUUGGGAGAGGGAUGCGGAAUUCCAGGUGUAGCGGUGAAAUGCGUAGAUAUCUGGAGGAACACCGGUGGCGAAGGCGACAUCCUGGACCAACACUGACGCUGAGUGAGCGAAAGCCAGGGGAGCAAACGGG